GACGGAGGGUGCAAGCGUUGCUCGGAAUCACUGGGCGUAAAGGGUGCGUAGGCGGGUUUUUAAGUCAGGGGUGAAAUCCUGGAGCUCAACUCCAGAACUGCCUUUGAUACUGAAGAUCUUGAGUUCGGGAGAGGUGAGUGGAACUGCGAGUGUAGAGGUGAAAUUCGUAGAUAUUGGGAAGAACACCAGUGGCGAAGGCGGCUCACUGGUCCGCAACUGACGCUGAGGCGCGAAAGCGUGGGGAGCAAACAGG
rnacentral:rRNA from 1 species